rnacentral:rRNA from 1 species
AGGGCGCAUGGCGGAUGCCUUGGCUCUCGGAGGCGAUGAAGGACGUGAUAAGCUGCGAUAAGCUUUGGGGAGGUGCAAAUGACCUUUGAUCCAGAGAUUUCCGAAUGGGACAACCCAAUAUCUUGAAGAGGUAUUAUCCAACGUUGUUGGAGGCUAACGCAGGGAACUGAAACAUCUUAGUACCUGCAGGAAAAGAAAAUAAACAAUGAUUCCCCCAGUAGUGGCGAGCGAACGGGGAACAGCCCAAACCAUCCAUGUUACGGCAUGGGUGGGGUUGUAGGACUACGCCGUUGCAUGAAGACAUCAGAGAAGAACUUUCUGGAAAGAAAGACCAUAGAGCAUGACAGUUGCGUAUUCGAAUGUUGUCGAAGCAUAGUAGUAUCCUGAGUAGCGCGGAGCACGAGGAAUUCUGCGUGAAUCUGCCGGGACCAUCCGGUAAGGCUAAAUACUCCCGAGAGACCGAUAGCGAACCAGUACCGUGAGGGAAAGGUGAAAAGCACUUCGAACAGAAGAGUGAAAUAGUUCCUGAAACCGUGCGCCUACAAGCGGUCGGAGCUCGUUAAUGAGUGACGGCGUGCCUUUUGCAUAAUGAACCUACGAGUUGCCUUUGCCGGCAAGGUUAAGUGUGACGACACACGUAUCCGAAGCGAAAGCGAGUCUGAACAGGGCGUAUAGUCGGCAGUGGCAGACGCGAAACCAAGUGAUCUACCCUUGGCCAGGUUGAAGGCUGGGUAACACCAGCUGGAGGACCGCACCAAUAAGCGUUGAAAAGCUUCUGGAUGAGCUGAGGGUAGGGGUGAAAGGCUAAUCAAACUUGGAGAUAGCUCGUACUCCCCGAAAUGCAUUUAGGUGCAGCCUUGCGGGUUACUGAUGUGAGGUAGAGCGACUGAUAAGAUGCGAGGGCUUCACCGCCUAUCAAGUCUUGACAAACUCCGAAUGCGCAUCAGUUCUACCGCAGGAGUGAGGGCAUGGGUGCUAAGGUCCGUGCCCGAGAGGAGAAGAAUCCGGACCACCUGCUAAGGUCCCGAAAUGACAGCUAAGUUAAACUAACGAAGUCUGACUGCUAAGACAGCUAGGAUGUUGGCUUGGAAGCAGCCAUUCAUUUAAAGAGUGCGUAACAGCUCACUAGUCGAGGAGUCGGGCGUGGAUAAUAAUCGGGUAUCAAGUUGUCUACCGAAGCAGUGGGAUCAUUUAUAUGAUCGGUAGGGGAGCAUUCCAGUCGGCGUCGAAGGCGUACCGUGAGGUAUUCUGGAGCGUCUGGAAAAGCAAAUGUAGGUAUAAGUAACGAUAAAGGGGGCGGGAAACCCCCUCGCCGAAAGACUAAGGUUUCCUGAUCAACGCUAAUCGGAUCAGGGUCAGUCGGGUCCUAAGGCUCAGCCGAACGGCGAUGCCGAUGGCAGAAACGGUUAAUAUUCCGUUACUACCUUCAGGAGUGACGUGGAGACGCAGUAGUGACAGUGCCGCCAUCUGACGGAAUAGAUGGUUGAAGGGUGUAGGAGUCGAUCAUGGCAGGCAAAUCCACCAUGAGAUCCGAACCUGACAGUAUGCCGCGUCCUUCGGGACAAGGCAAUAGUGCGCGUAAGCAUGCUGCCGAGAAAAUCCGCUAAACUUAAUCCUGCAGGUACCCGUACCGCAAACGGACACACGUAGUCGGGAUGAAUAUUCUAAGGCGCUUGAGUGAUUCACGGUUAAGGAACUAGGCAAACUGACCCUGUAACUUCGGGAUAAAGGGUCCCUACCCUUUUAUGGGAGGGCGCAGAGAAUCGGUCCAGGCAACUGUUUAACAAAAACACAGGGCUGUGCCAAAUCGAAAGAUCCAGUAUACAGCCUGACACCUGCCCGGUGCUGGAAGGUUAAGAGGAGAUGUCAUCGAUAAGAGAAGCGUUGAAUUGAAGCCCCAGUAAACGGCGGCCGUAACUAUAACGGUCCUAAGGUAGCGAAAUUCCUUGUCGGGUAAGUUCCGACCUGCACGAAUGGUGUAAUGAUCUGGACGCUGUCUCAACCGUGAGCUCAGUGAAAUUGUAGUAUCGGUGAAGAUGCCGAUUACCCGCGAUGGGACGAAAAGACCCCGUGAACCUUUACUAUAGCUUAUCAUUGAAUCUGGGCACGUGAUGUGUAGGAUAGGUCGGAGGCUUUGAAGCAGGUACGCCAGUAUUUGUGGAGCCGCUGUUGAAAUACGACCCUUUAUUUGUUUGGAUUCUAACCCGUGGAACGGGGACAUUGAUUGGUGGGUAGUUUGACUGGGGUGGUCGCCUCCAAAAGCGUAACGGAGGCUUCUAAAGGUGCCCUCCGGCCGAUUGGUAACCGGCCUUAGAGUGUAAUGGCAUAAGGGCGCUUGACUGGGAGACUGACAAGUCGAUCAGGUAGGAAACUAGAGCAUAGUGAUCCGGUGUUUCCGUAUGGAAGGGACAUCGCUCAAAGGAUAAAAGGUACUCCGGGGAUAACAGGCUGAUCCCUCCCAAGAGCUCAUAUCGACGGAGUGGUUUGGCACCUCGAUGUCGGCUCGUCACAUCCUGGGGCUGGAGAAGGUCCCAAGGGUUGGGCUGUUCGCCCAUUAAAGUGGCACGCGAGCUGGGUUCAGAACGUCGUGAGACAGUUCGGUCUCUAUCUAUCGUGGGCGCAUGAAAUUUGCGUGGCUCUGACACUAGUACGAGAGGACCGUGUUGGACAGACCUCUGGUUUGCCGGUUGUGCCGCCAGGUGCAUUGCCGGGUAUCUAAGUCUGGAUCGGAUAAGUGCUGAAAGCAUCUAAGUACGAAGCCGGCCACAAGAUUAGAUUUCUCAGGGUCGUUGU